CUUUAUUUUGUAGGCCUGGUAUGGUAGGAGGCAAGUAUAUGACAGCCAGAGGGAACCUCCUUCUAAAACUUUGCAUCUUCAUACCACAGAAAAGGGAGAAUGGCAAGAGGACACUCAUCAUUGCAGCAGUGGCUGACUUUAUAGGACCUGCAGCAAGAUGGUUGCUAUGGUUCCUGGAGAUGCCUGAGAUGCCAGACAACCUUCUUUUCUAAGCCUGCUCCUCCUACAUCCCACCAAUUUUGUGGUUCUUCAGCAUCCUUCCAAUGGCUACCCAGCCAGCACUGUUAUCCAGUCCUGGUUUCUGUUGCUUGCAGUCACCGAGCUCUGAGAGAGUGGCAGACAUAGAGUAGGCAUCCAGUGCUGAGCUGGUGAGAGGUAGUCCUGAAGCUGGGCCGCCAUCCUACCAUCACAAGGGCAGAGCCUGCCUGAAGGUGGAUUCAAACUGAAAGAGAAUAAAUUUAAGAAAUGUAAAGAGAUUAGCUGGGCAGCUGGAUUCAGCCAUACCUGAAGCCAUUUACUCCUAUUAGGUCUACUGUGCGCCAGGCACUGUUCUAGAGAGCUUCCAUUCUACUGGGAGAGCUGAGCCUAACUCUGCCAGAUUGAAGGUUUGUGGCAAUCCUGCGUCAAACAUAUCAGCACCUUGUCUCCAACAGCAUAUGCUCACUUCAUGUCUCUGUGUCAGCAAUUCUUAGCAAUAAAGUUUUAAAAAAAUUAAGUGGCCUGGAACUGAACUUGCAAUAUCUCUGAGGUAUGCCUGCACUUCUAAAAAAAUUGAACAGAAGGAAACACUUCCCAAUUCAUCCUAUGAGGCCAGUUACCUAACAUCAAAACCAGACUAAGAAAUUACAAGAUGAGAAAAUUAAAGACCAAUACUUCUCAUGAAAACAGAUGCAAACAUUUUAAAUAAGAUUUUAAUGUAUUGAAUCUAAUGACAUAUAGAAAUGAAUAAUACCUCAUGAUGAAAUGGUGUUUUAAAUCCUUAGGAAUUCAAGGUAGGUUUAAUAUUCAAAAAUCAACCAUUGUCAUUCAUCAUAGUAAAGACUAAAAAGAAAAACCAUAUGAUCCACCCAAUAGAUACAGAAAAAACAUUUGAAAAAAAAAUCAAACAUUUGGCUGGGCAUGGUGGCUCAUACCUGUAAUCCCAGCACUUUGGGAGGCUGAGAUGGGUGGAUCACUUGAGGUCAGGAGUUCAAGACCAGCCUAGCCAACAUGGG
rnacentral:lncRNA from 1 species